AUACGGAGGAUGCAAGCGUUAUCCGGAUUUAUUGGGUUUAAAGGGUGCGUAGGCGGUUUGCUAAGCGGGAGGGGAAAUGCCGGCGCUCAACGUCGGAAGUGCCUCCCGAACUGGUGGACUUGAAUGACUCUGCCGUGGGAGGAAUGUGUAGUGUAGCGGUGAAAUGCUUAGAGAUUGCACAGAACACCGAUUGCGAAGGCAUCUCACGAAGGGUUGAUUGACGCUGAGGCACGAAAGCGUGGGGAUCAAACGGGAUUAGAUACCCUGGUAGUCCGCACAGUAAACGAUGAUGGCUAACCGCUGGGCUUAUCAGUUCAGUGGCCAAGCGAAAGCGAUAAGCCAUCCACCUGGGGAGUACGACCGCAAGGUUGAAACUCAAAGGAAUUGACGGGG
rnacentral:rRNA from 1 species